UACGGGAGGCAGCAGUGGGGAAUAUUGCACAAUGGGCGCAAGCCUGAUGCAGCCAUGCCGCGUGUAUGAAAAAGGCCUUCGGGUUGUAAAGUACUUUCAGUCGUGAGGAAGGUGUUAAGGUUAAUAACCUUAGCAAUUGACGUUAGCGACAGAAGGAGCACCGGCUAACUCCGUGCCAGCAGCCGCGGUAAUACGGAGGGUGCGAGCGUUAAUCGGAAUUACUGGGCGUAAAGGGCACGCAGGCGGUUAAUUAAGUUGGAUGUGAAAUCCCCGGGCUUAACCUGGGAAUGGCAUUCAAGACUGGUUAGCUAGAGUCUUGUAGAGGGGGUAGAAUUCCAUGUGUAGCGGUGAAAUGCGUAGAGAUGUGGAGGAAUACCGGUGGCGAAGGCGGCCCCUGGGACAAAGACUGACGCUCAUGUGCGAAAGCGUGGGGAGCAAACAGGGAUUAGAUACC
rnacentral:rRNA from 1 species